rnacentral:rRNA from 1 species
CCUACGGGAGGCUGCAGUAGGGAAUCUUCCACAAUGGGCGCAAGCCUGAUGGAGCAACACCGCGUGAGUGAAGAAGGGUCUCGGCUCGUAAAGCUCUGUUGUUGGAGAAGAACGUGCGUGAGAGUAACUGUUCACGCAGUGACGGGAUCCAACCAGAAAGUCACGGCUAAAUACGUGACAGCAGCCGCGGUAAUACGUAGGUGGGAAGCGUUAUCCGGUUUUAUUUGGCGUAAAGGGAGCGCAGGCGGUUGCUCAGGUCUGAUGUGAAAGCCUUCGGCUUAACCGACGAAGUGCAUCGGAAACCGGGCGACUUGAGUGCAGAAGAGGACAGUGGAACUCCAUGUGUAGCGGUGAAAUGCGUAGAUAUAUGGAAGAACACCAGUGGCGAAGGCGGCUGUCUGGUCUGCAACUGACGCUGAGGCUCGAAAGCAUGGGUAGCGAACAGGAUUAGAUACCCUUGUAGUC